rnacentral:rRNA from 1 species
AUUGAACGCUGGCGGCAGGCCUAACACAUGCAAGUCGAGCGGAGCGGGGGACGGGUGAGUAAUGCAUAGGUAUCUGCCUGGUCGUGGGGGAGAACGACCGGAAACGGGCGCUAAUACAGCCUACUAUCAGAUGAACCUACGUCGGAUUGGCUGGGUGGUGGGGUAAAGGCCUACCCAAGCGACGAUCCGUAACUGGUCUGAGAGGAUGAUCAGUCACACGUGAACUGAGACACGGGCCCGGCUCCUACGGGAGGCAGCAGUGGGGAAUAUGGGACAAUGGGCGAAAGCCUGGUCCAGCCAUGCCGCGGGUGUUAAGAAGGUCUUCGGAUUGUAAAGCACUUUAAGGUGGGAGGCGUUACCAACAGAAUAAGCACCGGCUAACCUCGUUCCAGCAGCCGCGGUAAUUC